AAUGGGCGCAAGCCUGACCGGGCGACGCCGCGUGUGCGAUGAAGGCCUUCGGGUUGUAAAGCACUGUCGAGGGGGACCAAGGCCCGAAAGGGCUUGAGAGAUCCCUGGAGGAAGCACGGGCUAAGUUCGUGCCAGCAGCCGCGGUAAGACGAACCGUGCGAACGUUGUUCGGAUUCACUGGGCUUAAAGGGCGCGUAGGCGGGCCUUCAAGUCAGGGGUGAAAUCCUCCGGCCUAACCGGAGAACAGCCCCUGAUACUGAGGGCCUCGAGGGAGGUAGGGGUCGAUGGAACUUCCGGUGGAGCGGUGAAAUGCGUAGAUAUCGGAAGGAACGCCGGUGGCGAAAGCGAUCGACUGGACCUCUUCUGACGCUGAGGCGCGAAAGCCAGGGGAGCGAACGGGAUUAGAUACCCCGGUAGUCCUGGCCCUAAACGAUGGGUACUAGGUUGUGGACUUGACAUGGGUUCACAGCCGAAGCAAAAGUGAUAAGUACCCCGCCUGGGGAGUAUGGUCGCAAGGCUG
rnacentral:rRNA from 1 species